CGGGGUGCACCAGGCGCGAAAACUUUACAAUGCGGGAAACCGUGAUAAGGGAACUCCGAGUGCCCGUAAAAUCGGGCUGUCCAUCUGUUUAAAUAACAGGUGAAGAAAGGGCCGGGCAAGACCGGUGCCAGCCGCCGCGGUAAUACCGGCGGCUCGAGUGGUGGCCACUAUUACUGGGCUUAAAGCGUUCGUAGCUGGUCUGUUAAGUCUCUGGGGAAAUCUACUGGCUUAACCAAUAGGCGUUUCAGGGAUACUGGCAGACUAGGGACCGGGAGAGGUGAGGGGUACUCCAGGGGUAGGAGUGAAAUCCUGUAAUCCUUGGGGGACCACCUGUGGCGAAGGCGCCUCACCAGAACGGCUCCGACAGUGAGGGACGAAAGCUGGGGGAGCAAACCGGAUUAGAUACCCGGGUAGUCCCAGCCGUAAACGAUGCGCGUUAGGUGUAUCGGUGACCACGAGUCACCGAGGUGCCGAAGAGAAAUCGUGAAACGUGCCGCCUGGGAAGUACGGUCGCAAGGCUGAAACUUAAAGGAAUUGGCGGGGGAGCAC
rnacentral:rRNA from 1 species